rnacentral:rRNA from 1 species
AUUGAACGCUGGCGGCAGGCCUAACACAUGCAAGUCGAACGAGUGGCGGAUGGGUGAGUAAUGUCUGGGAAACUGCCUGAUGGAGGGGGAUAACUCCCGGAAACGGUAGCUAAUACCGCAUACCAUCGGAUGUGCCCAGAUGGGGUUACCUAGUAGGUGGGGUAAAGGCUCACCUAGGCGACGAUCCCUAGCUGGUCUGAGAGGAGGACCAGCCACACUGGAACUGAGACACGGUCCAGACUCCUACGGUAGGCAGCAGUAGGGAAUAUUACACAAUGGGCGCAAGCCUGCUGCCGCCAUGCCGCGUGUAUGAAGAAGGCCUUCGGGUUGUAAAGUACUUUCAGCGGGGAGGCGUUACCCGCAGAAAAAGCACCGGCUAACUCCGUGCCAGCAGCCGCGGUAAUAC